GGGGACGCUACCGGCCGUGUGCAGGCAGUUCUGGUGGAGAGAGAAGAAGGCACACCUGUAAGAACAUCGAGUCCAUCCGAUCAUCGAUCGGGCACACCGAAAAGUCAAGCCAAUCUUCUUCUUCUAAGUUAAGUGGCGCUGGACAGGACUAAGGUUGAAGAUGACCGGUCACUUCACGCUUGUUCUGGUGCUGAUGGUCCUGGCUGGAGCCGUGUAUCCAGCCAAGAGCCAAUGGCAGGGACAACAACUCAAGGAUAAAGAUGCUUCAUCUGCAAUCAAGGAAGCUGAACUUCUGCUUAAAGAGCUUGAAGAUCUGGUUAUGUUGGGUGACAACAAUAACGGUGGUGAUCAUGACAUGGCCAUACAGCCCGGAAAACGACAGUCUG